UGGUUCGUCAUCCAAUGGUGAGGAUACCGAUCUGAUACGUCGGCAAUCACAGUUCAAUUCUGUGCGAACCUACCA
rnacentral:tRNA from 1 species